UUACAAUUUACUGCAAAUACGAGUACACUGUUGGUAAUUGAAUAAAAUCCGUACCAUCUUUACCCUGAGCGGCGUGGUAAAAUGAAUAUCUUCCAACCGCCACGCUUAGUGAGACCGAUUUGGGAGUUUUGGAUACCAAUAUCCUGCUGAAUCUUGUAGAAAACACCUUAAAAUCUUGUGCCGACACGGCAUUACUAACAACAUUAACAGCACUCGCCCACGUUAACCAGGCCACUCUUUGUGUAUCAAACGCUGUAAAACAGGAGACCGAGAAAAUCAACGGGAAUCUUCAGCGACGCACUCCAAAUAAAUUGUCCAGCGCGAGAGUUAAGGCCAUGGCUAUUUUGGCUUUAAUGCUAAAAUGGCAUUUUCCGUAAAAACUCAGACAUACUAAAUGAAGACUGCUCUAUUGCUUGGAAGAAAGUUCAAACCUAUAAAAUCAGUGGAAUUCGAAAUAUGAAUUUUUGAAUUAAGCGACCCAAAGUGGUCGACAUUGCAUCUAAUGACUGGCUCGGCUUACCAUUACGCGAGUAUAUGCAAGCUAGCGAAUAUGUAAUAUAAAGUCAAUGGAACUAAUAUGGAAGCAUAAAUUGCGGUCCACAUCUUUUGUCUUACCGAGCCAUAAAACAUCGCUGGACAUCGGUAGAAUGAAAGCAAACACAGAAAGACAAUAGGUUUUGAUCACACGCAAGUGUGAUUGCAGUGGUCACUCGGCUGUCUGGAUGGUCUUUGUGGCGGGAUGCAUGUGAUCUGCCGAAUUUGACCAAUGGGACAUUGUAUCUCCUGCAAGACGUACCUAGUGUACACGAGGUUUCCUUAAAGGUUGACAACUAUCUCAUUUGGCUAACGGUGUUAAUGGAAUGGAGAAUGCGCCAGUGGUAUCCUCUGCACAAAGUGGAUGUUGUUGUUAUUCACAAACGAUAAAAUAGACAAGAUUCCCCGGGAAAGGGAAUCUGUCCAUUAUUGGCUAGCGGCGCAACCUAAGCCCGCCCGCUUGGAGAUUGGCCAGCGGUCAAUGUCUGGAUGAGGUAUAUAAGCAACUCACUGCACACAGUGCAUAAUCAUUGCUCCUACCUUCGCAGUUAGCAAAAUUUUUGUUAGCAAUUUAGCAAAUUAGCCUGCUACUAGCAGAUACUUAGCUUUUAGAUCGUCAGCCUUUAGAACGUUCUGUGACCUUUUUUAAUAAUAACCGCCAACGGUCUUCAUAAUGGUCUCGAAGAACGAACUGAAGAAGUUGAAGGUUCCACAGCUCAAGCAGGCAUGCCGUGAUGCUGGUCUAGAUGAUACCGGCGUCAGGAAAGUCUUGUUGCCACGUUUGUAUAACCACAACGACAUCCCGCCAUCACGCAUGGAAGGCGCUGUGGAUGCCAACGGCGCCAUCGCACCGACUGACCAUCCUGUUGGACCUCCAGCAGGAAUAGCUGCCGCCGGACCAUUAGCCGAGCUGAUUACCGUAUGCGGCCUGGCUCCAGCCACCCUGCUUGAUUUGGAGGAAGCUGGCUUCACCAACCUGGACAAACUUCUCCGCCUUCAUCAAAGUAAGUCCUAUCCGAAAGAUCUCGAUUUCAUCCAGCUUUCUGCCGAUCGCAACGAGAUUCAGAUCUUCAUCAAUCACCGAGCACCGCUUGCCGUUUCCGAUCUCCGCCAACUGCUGCGCUCCCGUAACAGCAAUGCCGAGAACGCCGGAUCCGCGCAAGCCAAUGUCCCGGUCGCCAAUAGCAACAACGGUCAGCAUGCAUAGGCCGCCGGCAGCAGCCGUGGCAGGGCCCGUUCCCGCGGUUAACGUUCACGCCAUAGCCACGGCCGCCACUAUUCUAACAACUACAACUCGGGUGAGUCCUCUAAUAAUAUUUGCAAUAUUUAGAAUUUCUGGCUAUACGACGGCGUGGUUACGACGAUAAGAGGCAGUUUUGAAAUUUGACGAAGAAUUUCGUGAAAUGGCCAUUCAUGAUGAUCUCAGUCUCUCUGAUUCACAUGAACGAUCGGCUUUAAGCGAUAAAUACUUUCAUGCGAAGACGCGUCGCGGUGAUUACGAUGUUGAUCGGAAAAUACAGAAGAAGCGUCCGCUUUUUCGUGGGAAUGCCGGCAAUCAACGCGCCGGCACAAUCCGCUAUAAGUUUACUUGCUGCUAUAAUUGGCAGGAAAAUAAAUGUUACAGCCACGCCACGUGCGGCUUUGCUCACAUCUGUGGUCACUGCGGAGGCGACCACCAAGGCGCCAGCUGCAAUUCCACAGCGACCAGAGGAGACAGAACACGCACUGAUUGCUCACUCAUGUGCGACUAUCUUCCUUCUUCCACUUGUUUUUCUCAUGUUCAUAAUAGUAGUAAAUAGCUCCCCGCUGAGCGCCGACUGCAGUUGUCCACUACAGUCUGGAUGUCCAGCGGGGAACUCCAAGGGAUGACUGCAGUUAGCGGGUACAAGGGAACACUCUCAAGAUUAAACUGCACUGUUUACUACAGCGCAACUGUAUUUCACUAUUAGCUAUAGAGCAAUAAUAAAUUACAGCGUAACUGUACAACUUUAUAAUAAUUUUUCAACAUUAUCAAUUACUUGAUAUUAUAAUUACCAUAAUAAUAUAUCUUCACAUAAACUUACCAGCAAACCGUUUCAAUAGAAAAAAUAAAAAAGACAAGUACAUAGCAGUAAAAAUUAUUUUUCAACGAGCGAUAAAAAGGAAAAAGAUAAUUAACCAUGGCAUCUAUCUAAUUAGUACUUAAGAACAACCAUUCAUCAUAUAUGCAAUUAGGAAUAAAAUAAUAAUUAUCUGUUACACAAUAAUUAGAAACAAAUGCUGAUAAUGAUGAUGAAACCGCUAAUAAUUUGCUAGCUCAUCGAUAUCGGACGUAAUAAAUGAUGACAACACAGAAGAGCCGCCUUCGCUGCGGGUUUCAUAAUCCAUCGUGUCACUUGCACGACCGUCCACUGGUCCAGCUUUGCCUAUGAAAUUUGAUUUGGAUUAUUUUAUGUCACGCACCAGAUUUAAAUGUUGGAAAAAAUUAAUAACAAAAUCACGUGCGCGCUGAUGAGACAUUUGCAGCAACUAUGGAUAUUUCAGCCUUCACUGCAUCCAAAAAACUACUUUUCCAAUUACUGUCUGACGCAGACUCUUCGAGGAAGCGAUCGGAUAACAACUUCCCGCUAAUUUGCAUCUGUUGACUGUAACGCUUCAGAUGAUAUUUACCUGCAAGGAAAACACUGCGGAUUAUCCAAAACACAACAUGGAAAUAUAGCAUUUACCAUUAUCCAUAUUUCGAAGCAGUUUAUCCAGUUCAACUAACUGGCGCAACAGGUCACGCUCAUCAUCAGGUUGCUCUUUAUAGUAGCACGCAAUGCUGGCCAUGGACUCCAGUCUUUCGAAUAGCGGUUCAAAGUUUUCAGUAGCGCGAACAGCGUAAUGCUCGUCGGUUAGAGCUUUCGUAUCAUCUCGCAUGAAUACACCAUUCUUUAACUGGCGUUCCUCGUUGCUGGUGAAGAAGAAUACUUCUUCAGCUCUCUGGUUUGUCCUUACAAGGUUGGCCGUUUGCCUGUCCAGCUUUCUAUCGUAAUUGCGGAUUUGCUCUGUCCAGUGACGUCCGGUUGGAAUUGUUUGGGGAGCAACAAGAUCCAGCAGUUUGACUACGGUAGCUUCUCGACUUUUUUGCAUCAUUCUGGCACAGGCAAGCAUGCUCUCCAGUUUCACAGCAAUUUCAUCAUACAGGUACUGUUGCUGAUGGUAGAAUUCUGCGUUGUACAUUGCCUUUUCAAGGUACUUGUUAGCACAGUCGAUCUACAAAAAACGCUUAAAAGUAAGCAGGCAACAAGAACGGUUGUUAACGCAAACUUACUGUGGCUUUACGACAUGCUUUAGGCUUCUGGCAAAAUUAUUUGGUCACAUCUAACAAUGUCCAAUGUGACACUUUUUCAGACCAAGGCGCGGAUUCCCAGCGUUUAAGAAAGGGGUGCAUUUCCGGAACGACCACUGCUUUCUUUGUUCUGAAAAAUAAAAUGCAAACCAUAUGAUACACAAGGAUUUACGUAAAAUUUAAUUAUUAUUUCUGAAACAAUUUGCUGAGAAAUUUUACUCAGAUAAACGCACAAUGUUUCUACCAUUACAUACAACAUUAUUAGAAAUGAAGCAGUGUUUCUCGCGAUAAGUAAGAAUGUGCUUGCAGCAUAUAACAGUGUAAGCUCAACCAAACUCAUAUCGAAAAACAACCCACUUAUAUUUGCUGACUAGGAUUAUACAAGCAAACUCCAAGGUACACAAUAUGCUUGAAAAUCCAUUUUAACACACCUGGCGUUCGACUGUUCUUUCGCAUUGUCGAACGCAAGGUGUGUUAAAAAAGAAAUUCUCGCCUCAGGUGACCUUUCUUGCAACGGACUACAGUUCCUGACAGUCAAUGUCUCUGUCAAGAAGCUGCAAGUACGUUCAAGGAAAGCACUGGUCUGAAUGAACAACUGAAUGGCUAAAUAGUUUCUGCUGUGCGCAUAUAUAGCUUUUCUUGCCUAGAAAGGCUGGUACUGUUAUGCUGCGGCACUUCGCCAUUCCGCCAGUCUGCUGCAGACAGAGUAACAGAUGUUUAUGUGCCUAGAAAACAGCAAACUCAGUGGCAAAGUUGGCCACUACGUCAAGUGUCCAAGUGGUAGUGUCUGAGUGUCCGAGUGUCAUAAUGUCAGAGUGUCGAAACUGCUCCGUGUAAAUAAAAUAGUCAAAGACGGCUCAGCAGAAGCGCCAUUUGAGAUUUUCACCCGAGAGCAUUCUUUUUGUAUGGACGUAAACGGAAUGUUUCCUGCUCGUAAGUUCCGCAAACGUUGGGAAAGCGACGUUGCCAAUGGAGCGAACGUCACCGACAGCCCCAAGGAAGUAAACGAUGUCGAAAGCGGAAAGGAACUCAAAGACAGUGGCACCACAGAAAGAGAAUCCGAUGAAGACUCGGAUAUCGAAUAAUGCGACUGCAGCGAAUGCACCAGCAGCAAGAAGCAAAAGCUAUCCCCCUGAAAAUCCACCCUCUGUCCAACGCCGGUCUAAGGAAACAUCUUCGUAAGCUCCUGGAAGGCUUCAUCGAUAUCCUCCAUGCUUUUAGCGCCUAAAAUGUUGCAUUUUCCGCUGUUAAAGAUUACUGCUGUGGCUUUUGGCAAUCGUACUGUCAUUCCAGGAAACAGCUCUGGCUCGUAAAAUUUCUUAUAUGUCAAAUAGUUAAUAUUGUCCAGUCUUUGCUUCUUGAACCGGCAUUUUCCAACAAUGUUAACAACCUGAAAAUCUGUUAUUUUGGC